rnacentral:rRNA from 1 species
GACGAACGCUGGCGGCGUGCUUAACACAUGCAAGUCGAACGGUGAAGCGAGUGCCUGCCCUCGUGGAUCAGUGGCGAACGGGUGAGUAACACGUGAGUAACCUGCCCAUCACUCUGGGAUAAGCACUGGAAACGGUGUCUAAUACUGGAUACGACCAACCCUUGCAUGGGGUGUUGGUGGAAAGAUUUAUCGGUGAUGGAUGGACUCGCGGCCUAUCAGCUUGUUGGCGGGGUAAUGGCCCACCAAGGCGACGACGGGUAGCCGGCCGGAGAGGGUGACCGGCCACACUGGGACUGAGACACGGCCCAGACUCCUACGGGAGGCAGCAGUGGGGAAUAUUGCACAAUGGGCGAAAGCCUGAUGCAGCGACGCCGCGUGAGGGAUGACGGCCUUCGGGUUGUAAACCUCUUUCAGCAGGGAAGAAGCGAAAGUGACGGUACCUGCAGAAGAAGCACCGGCUAGCUACGUG